CUCAAUAGACUAGACUAUAGUGUAAACAAAUUUUAUGUUCAUAGGGAAACCAAAAACAUUAUUGCAAUACUCACUUUAUUGUAGUAGUCUGGAACCAAACCCACAAUACCUCAAAUGUAUGCCUCAAUAUCAUGGUUCAGUUCUCAAAUUCCUUAGUUAAUCUGCUUUAAGUCUUGUUUACAACUUAUCCAGCUCAAAGGUAAGCCUGUGAUUUGUGUGGGUUCAUGCACAGUCAGGGAGUCUCUUUGUUUAAAUUUAUGUUUCUAGGACUUGGCUAACUUUCUCUGACCUUUUUCUGGCUCCUCUGGCCAAAAAGACUUCAUUUCUACUGGUAAGUUAGCUGUCAGCUCUACACCUCUGCCCAGCUUUGCAACUGGGACCCUAUGGGCAAAUAUAUGAGACAAAAGAGAAAAAAAGUACAGGGAAUUUCAUUCCUGAAUAGAGCACUUCUUCAUAUUUUGAUUCUCUCCACCAUUUUCCCUCUUUUUAGUUAUAUUUCUGCAUCCUCAAUUAGUUGCUUUUUAAAUAUUUUUCAGAGAUUUUAGUUAUAAUCAGUGAUAAACAUAGGCUAUACUGGGCUUGUCUCAUUUUGGAUAGAACUACAACUCUGUGAGAAGGAGGUGCUUCUCAGUUGGUUCUGAUAUCCAUGAGCAUAGAGGAGGAUUCUGUGGCCUUGAGACUUCAACCUUUGAGGAGAUGCUGGCCCACUGGUACAGUUGUCUCUGCAGAGGUGAUGUGAUUUGAUGGCUUCUUGAAGUGUUGAAACAACUGCAAGCAGGUUUCAGCAGUGGCUCCUCAAACAAACUAUUAUCAGCAUGGAGAUGUGAGUCUAGGAUAACUCUCAAAGGAGGGCCUUGAGCAGUUAAAUGGCAUGAUUUAAUGUUUAAGAUGAUCACUCUGACUACUCUUUGGAGAACAGACUGAAUGUGACUAAAGAAAAAAUAAGGAGACCAGUUAGAAAAUAUUACAAUAAUCCAGAUGAGAUUAAGAUGGCAGAAUAGAAGGACUGGAGCUUACCUUCCUCAUAAUAACAACAAAAUUACAACCAAAUGCUGGACAACCUUCUAACAAAUGGACUGGAAACCCUCAAAAAGAUGUCCUAUUUCAGAAGACAAAGAGGAGGCCACAUCAAGAAGUAGGAGGGGGGAUUAUGUGAUAUAAGCAACCCCAUACCCAAUGGGUGAGAAGCACACAGACUGGAAAGUAACUUUAUCACAGAGACUCACCUAUAAGACUGAGAGUUCUGAGCCCCAUGUUAGGUAUCCAUGCCUGGGGAUCUGCAUUGGGAAAAAGAGCCCCUGGAGCAUGUGGCAUUGAAGGCCAGUGGGGCUUGUGCAGGAGCUCCACAGGACUGGGGGAAACAGAGACCACAUUCUAUGUGUGUAUCAAUUUUGCAAAAUACAAUAACUGAAAGAAAAAAAAUUCAUUAGAAGCAACCAAUGGCAGAAUAUAGGAGGUAGAAGAACAAAUAAGCAAGGUGGAGGACAGACUAUUGGAAAUCACUGAUGUGGAACAGAAAAGAGAAAAAAGAUUGAAAAGAAAUAAGGAGUCUCAGAGAACUCUGGGACAAUGUUAAAUGCACCAACAUCUGUAUUAUAAGGGUGUCAGAAGGAGAAGAGAGAGGAAAAGGGAGAGAAAAAAUAUUUCAAGAGAUAAUAGCUGAAAAUUUCCCUAACAUGGGAAAGGAACCACUCACUCAAAUCCAGGAAGCAUGAGUAUCAUAUAAAAUAAACCCAAGGAGAAACACCCCAAGACACAUUUUAAUCAAAAUAACCGAAAUUAAAGACAAAAAGAAAAUAUCGAAAGCAGCUAAGGAAAACAAACAAAUAACACAAGGGAACCCCAAUAAGGUUAUCAGCAGAUUUUUCAGCAGAAACUCUGCAGGCCAGAAUGGAGUGGCAUAAUAUACUUAACAUGAUGAAGGGAAAAAAACCCCAACCAAGAUUACUUCACCCAGCAAGGAUCUCCUUCAGAUUUGAAGGAGAAAUCAAAAGCUUUAUAGAUAAAAAAGCUAAGAGAAUUGAACAACACUAAACCAGCGUUACAACAAAUACUAAAGGAACUUCUCUAGGCAGAAAAGAAAAGGCCACUAUCAGAAACAAAAAUUUUACAAAAAUGACAAGGCUCACCAGUAAGGGCAUAUAUACAGCCAAGGUAGGAAAUCAUCCAUGUAAAAAUAUGCUACAAAAAUCAGAAAUCAUGAGAAGAGGAGGGUACAAAUGCAGGACACUUGGAGAUGCACUUACAAUUAAGAGACCAACAACUUAAAACAAUCUCGUAUAUAUAUAGACUCCUAUAUCAAAACUUCUGGGUAACUGCAAACCAAAAGUCUACAAUUGAUACACACACAAAUAAGAAAAAUCAACUCAAAUACAACAUUAAAGAGAGUCAUCAAACCACAAGAGGAGAGAAGAAGAGAGGGAAGAAAAAAGAGCAAUGAAAACAAAUCCAAGGCAAUUAAUAAAAUGUCAAUAAGAACAUACAUAUCAAUAAUUACCUUAAAUGAAAAUGGACUAAAUGCCCCUACCAAAAGAUGUAGACUGGCUCAAUGGAUACAAAAA
rnacentral:lncRNA from 1 species